AAUGUUUCAAAAUUAAUAGUAUAAAAGUACAAAAUUGUGAACGUUACUUAAAAUAUAUACACCACGAGCUGUGUGGACACUACAAGCUAAUGAAUAAUAAUGUCUAUGGACAUUAUGGUAAGCUCUGUUCUAAUGUACAGCGUAUAUUAAUUGAUGAGCUCUUUUGCUUCUGGUAUUAUUCAAUGUCCAAUGACUGAACUAAAUCCAUCUAAGUUACCUGACUUGUCGAAUUACCACUUCUGAAGAAGCCGGAAAUUACUCUGUUUCUCUAAUCCCUCCGCCUGAAUUUUAUUAUCAGAGAGGAUUACAUGGGUUACAUGUUAGAGUCGCCUCACUCGAAUGGAGAUAAUGGAGACAUCUAAAGCAAAUCGAAGUGAUAUAAAUUCUAAUGCUAUACCUAAAUAGAAAAAUAUUUUACUAGACUUGGACUCAUAAUCAUAUUGGAUUUGAUAAAAAAAAAACAAAAAAUAAACACUCAUAUUUAAACGAUGAUGUUAAAAGGAACUAUCCGCGCUGCACAGAAAUGACGAGCUUAACCGUUACAAGGUUUACGUUAAUAAAAUUCUCAAGUGAACUGUGAGCUGUGAACUGGCGAAAUAAAUGACUUCUUCAUGACAUUAUGGUAAUUGCUUCUAACUUAUCGUAGUUUUGUGAGUUAUUAUCAAAAUCCAUAUGGUUUAUUUAAUUGACGAACAUUAAAGGAUCUUACAUGGAAGCUUAUAACAGCCGAUAUCGAUAAUUCCAGAUGAUGAAUCGAACGUGUGACCGACCACCCACGCGUAUGUACUAAUAUCUAUGUAUGAUCAAACUAACCCUGAUGAAUCCUUAUUAAUCAACGGAGCAUUUUGACUAGACCACAAAUCACAAAUCA